ensembl:lncRNA
CUUCUCUUUUAGGUCUUUUUUUCUUCACUUGGCCCAACAGAUUGUGAUGGUACUAUCUGCCUGGUGGAGCCCCUUCACACCACAACACACCUUGGAACUGAUGAAGAGGAUGAAGCUGUGUCUGCUGCCUUUACAGAGGGGGAUCCAGAAACACAUCUAGAGAGCAUGGCUGGACAGCAGCAGGAUGGUUCCUCAACUUCCACUGCAAAGACUGACACAGUGAGAUGGAUGUUCAGUAAACACCAGAGGUUCAGUCCGUGGAAUUUAUGUGCAACUGUAUAAUUUAAUCUCCUUUAUGUAUUCCCACUUACCAGUAAAACAAAUACACAAAAUCCACUUGCUGAAGAAAAAUACAAAAAACAGAUAAAGAAAUGCAGUACUUGCACUGCCAGAUUAAGAAGGCAGAUCUAGAAAUUGAAAUAC